UUCUCCUGUUGUUCUUGCUUCAAAAGAGGGAGAGGAUGAGAGUUCUAAGUGAAAAAGAUGUGUUUUAAAAUCCAAAAAACUGUCUUUCAUAUGAAAAAUUCUGUCAGAAAACUGUUAGGGUCAGCCGGAUUGACUAGUGCGUCGCGACUCACUCAAUAUUAUGCCCAUUUUCCUUCAAGCAGUCAACCCGGUUGACUAGUGUGCCGCGGCUCACCGCCUUCUCUUCCCAAUCUUCUUCCAACCCCUGAUUCAUUGUGAGCCAUGGUUAGCAAGGCUUAAACACUCUCUUUUGCAUCAUUGUGAGCUUACUUCACAAUCUUCAAAUGCUUUAACAUCGACAUUCUUCAUUUAACACCUAAAGCAUCAUAAUUAACCACUAAGCUCAAUUUAACACAAAAUCACCCCUACUCUACACAACUUUUGCAAUCAAAUAUGACUAAACUAAUAAUAAACAAUGACACAAACAUGACUAAA
rnacentral:lncRNA from 1 species